UAGAUAGUAGGCGGGGUAACGGCCCACCUAGUCUUCGAUGGAUAGGGGUUCUGAGAGGAAGGUCCCCCACAUUGGAACUGAGACACGGUCCAAACUCCUACGGGAGGCAGCAGUGAGGAAUAUUGGUCAAUGGACGAGAGUCUGAACCAGCCAAGUAGCGUGAAGGAUGAAGGUUCUAUGGAUUGUAAACUUCUUUUAUACGGGAAUAAACGGAUCCACGUGUGGAUUUUUGCAUGUACCGUAUGAAUAAGGAUCGGCUAACUCCGUGCCAGCAGCCGCGGUAAUACGGAGGAUCCGAGCGUUAUCCGGAUUUAUUGGGUUUAAAGGGAGCGUAGAUGGGUUGUUAAGUCAGUUGUGAAAGUUUGCGGCUCAACCGUAAAAUUGCAAUUGAUACUGGCAGUCUUGAGUACAGUUGAGGUAGGCGGAAUUCGUGGUGUAGCGGUGAAAUGCUUAGAUAUCACGAAGAACUCCGAUUGCGAAGGCAGCUUACUAACCUGUAACUGACAUUGAUGCUCGAAAGUGUGGGUAUCAAACAGGAUUAGAUACCCUGGUAGUCCACACGGUAAACGAUGAAUACUCGCUGUAGGCGAUAUACAGUCUGCGGCCAAGCGAAAGCAUUAAGUAUUCCACCUGGGGAGUACGCCGGCAACGGUGAAACUCAAAGGAAUUGACGGGGG
rnacentral:rRNA from 1 species